UACAGAGACUGCAAGCGUUAUUCGGAUUCACUGGGCGUAAAGGGUGCGCAGGCGGUUGGGUGUGUCAGAUGUGAAAUCCCGAGGCUUAACCUCGGAACUGCGUCUGAAACUACUCGACUAGAGUACUGGAGAGGGAAACGGAAUUCACGGUGUAGCAGUGAAAAUGCGUAGAUAUCGUGAGGAACACCAGAGGCGAAAGGCGGUUUCCUGGACAGUUACUGACGCUCAGGCACGAAAGCAUGGGGAGCAAAAGGG
rnacentral:rRNA from 1 species